GGGCGGUUGGCGCAAUGGUAGCGCGUUGGUUUUCGGUCACAGGAUGCACCAAAGGUUGUGGGUUCGAGCCCCAUGCUGCUCG
rnacentral:tRNA from 1 species